rnacentral:misc_RNA from 1 species
UCUCCGUUGGUGAACCAGCGGAGGGAUCAUUACUGAGUGAGGGUUUAACCGCCCGACCUCCAACCCUUUGUGAACCAACACUGUUGCUUCGGGGGCGACCCUGCCUUUCGGGCAGUGCGCCCCCGGAGGAUAUCAAAACGCUGCAUCUUUGCGUCGGAGUAUCAAUCAAAUUGAACAAAACUUUCAACAACGGAUCUCUUGGUUCUGGCAUCGAUAAGAACGCAGC